AUAACCAUAGCUUAGUAACCAAAUCUUAUUUCAAUUUAAUUUCAUAUAAAGUUCUUUUUUUAAAAUGUUAAGAAAAAAAGACCAGACGCUACAUACAAGAGAAACAGAUAUCUAAACUCUUUUGUUUAUGGAAAUAGCAUAUAAAAAGCCGAUUUACUGUAUUAAUAGGAGUAUAUAAAUAUAUGGAUAUUGUUAACAAGAUUAAGAUAUUAAGAAUGAAAUGUUAAUUACUGGUGAUAAGAUAAACGGAGACUGUCAGACCAAAAUAGACUUCGGAUAUAAAUUAAGAUUACUCAAAGAGAUCUAUGAACCGGAAUUAAAAGAAGAUAUUUUUGGAAAUAGUCAUUUUUUACUAUAAUGUAAUGAAUUCAGAGAAAAGUCAAGACUUUAAAACUAACGUACGCAUGAAAUGAGUUAUAAAAGUGCAAGAAGCAAGAGAUGUAAGGAAAGAAAUAUACUCCAGAUAGGUUAGUAUAACCUGAAAGCAAUAUAUAUUUAUGUAAACAGAGGGCUUACCAUGAAAUGUUUUUCGAAAUUUCGGAGCCAAACGAAACAGAAAUUUGAUCUUAAAAUUACAUAAUACAUGCCGUUUGUAAAUAUUAAAAAUGUUAAAAUAUUGUUCCUUUGGACUUUCAUGAUAGGAUGUAGGACGAACGAAAUGUUAAACUCCAUUUAUUGGUCUGAUUUUGGUAUAAACAAAAACACGAAAUUGAGUCCGAAAUUUCGGAAUUUCAUUUCAUGGUAGACCCGUAGAUGUAGCGCCCCCAAAGAUUUGAAAGCGCUUAAAUACAUAAUAAUAAAAAAAAGAAAAACACCGAAGUUAAUACUAAAAAAAAAAAAAAAAGAAUAUAUAUAAAAACAAAACAGAAUAGAAAAAUAUAUAAGUGCUAUUAUUCCGCAGCAUCGGUAUAGUGGCGUGCAUGUAGAAAAAUACCAUUACAGAACAUGUUUUAACUGAAGCUACGAUGUUGGUUACCAGUAAACAUCGAGUACAUUAUGUUUUAAGUAGGAUUGAAUACUUUUUUACAUACAAAACAACAACAAGCUCAUGCAACACUAAGGUAUAGUAUUAAAUCGGUGCUCUAGGACGUACAUUUGAU